AUAGAACGUCAGCGGGAGUAUGUCCAGAGGAUUUGGCGAGAGGAUCAUCUGGACAAUAGCAAUACAUUUGGACUUCCCCUUAAUAUAGUUUGCAAACAACUUAUUUCCAUCAACAAUAGCUGCUGUUUUCAGCUAAAGUUAUGGGAGAUCCCUUUCUCGUGGGGGAGAUAGGCCUGCUGGCAUUCAAGUCUGCAGCAGACGAAGGACAGAAACAAGGCCAAGACUCUCAUGUGCUACUCUUGGAGAUGUUUUCCAAACUUCUGGAACUCUUGACCCUCCGCCACCGGCUGAUAGAAAUGAGCCUGGAGAGUGCACACUUAGCUCGGCUCUAUAAAGAAUUGGCAUGGGAGAUGGGUUUUGAAGAGUUCCAUCUGUAUCUGAGGCCUGUCCACUUUGAAUUUGCAUCACACAGGGACAGGGCAGACCAGCGACCUCCUGUCUUUAUAACCUCUCUGCUGGAGGACAGUGGUCGGGUAGACAGAUAUUCUCCUACUGCUCUUGUCUUAGCCAUCUCUGAGGUGGAUGAUAACCAAAUUGGCAAAUUUAGUUUUUACACAAAGGAAGCCAUUCUUAAGCUCUUGUUGCAUUCAGGAGUGGAAAAUAUGCAGGUGACUCUUGCUUGCCAAGCUGCUCAGAAAAAUGCUUUGAUGGUGGCUGUCCAGCAGGUGUACUUCUAUCACACCCCGCAAGGGAGCUGUCCUGCUAAUGUCGAGGAAAUAAGUUCAAAUCUGAGAACUCAUGGUGGAAUGGGCCCAACCAGAAGAAGACAGUCCAGAAUUGUGAAUGGCGUAGACGGCUCACUGAUAGCCCCAACUCCAAAAGUCCCAGCUGCUCUUACUCAUUCUCCAGAAAGAUUUCAGGCUACCAAAAGAUACUGUACCUGGUGA
rnacentral:lncRNA from 1 species